rnacentral:rRNA from 1 species
UCGUAGUUUGAUUUGUGUCUCACGCUGUUGGUCCACUGCCCGCAGUGUUAACUGAUAUGACGUGAGACGUCUAGCCGGUGAAUUCAACAAGGUUGCAGUUUUUCAUUUUCUAUAUAUUUAAAUAAAUUUUUAAUGAUAACUUGUAAACGGUUGAAUUCAACUUUAUGUUUAUAAAGAUCCUGUCACAGUGCUCUUGACCGAGUGUUUUGCCAGGCCGGCCCAUUUACUUUGAACAAAUUAGAGUGCUUAAAGCAGGCAAAAAUUUACGCCUGAAUAAUAUGUGCAUGGAAUAAUAGAAUAGGACCUCGAUUCUAUUUUGUUGGUUUUGAGAAUUAAGAGGUAAUGAUUAAUAGGGACAGAUGGGGGCAUUUGUAUUGCGACGUUAGAGGUGAAAUUCUUGGAUCG